CAGUUGGAAAGUGAAGGUCUAUGAAGAUAAAAUAGCAGUUCUAUUACAGGCAUUAAAGAAAAGAUCUCCAGUUCAUGUGCCAGGGUUGUGGGUUAGGCAAGCCGCUUUGCUCCAGCUUCCUGGGGGCCGGCUCUGCCCAGCCUCCCACCUUCACCCCUGCCUCCUCCUCUUUGCAUAACGUGGCCUCAUUCAUUUACUUCAGUAGCUCCUUUCUGGAACAAAUUCUCACAUCGCAAUCCUUUCCAGAAUGCUACAGUAACAGAGUUCUCAAAGGCUGUGAUUGAUGGGCUUUGAAACACUCUUUCUUUUUGGAAAUAUUUAUAUUUGAUCCCUUUGGACAGACUGCACAUAACUAGAGCUUAUCACGUUGCUGGAAAUUAUGGGCAGAGUCGAAGAGACAGGAACCCUGAGUCGGCCGAGCCCCGGGAGAGCAAAGAUUAAUAUCCAUUUGCGCUUUGCUGUCCUCAACCCUGAUAACUGUAAAUAACGUUUGGAAAAGAUCGGGGUGCAUCAUGAUCUAUUACAUGGUGGCGACGAUUCUGGUUGUUAUGUCUCCCACAGUGAUUUAUCAUUCUCUGCAGUGACACAACUCAUGGUCCUUGCCUGCCACUCUGGAAGACUGACUCCUACUUUCAAAUGCCUAUCAGUGAGCUAGGAUGACAAAUUUGCCUGUGAUCAUGUGCUGAAGCGAUAUGCAUUUUAGCUGAAGCCUCUUGGAAUCAGCUCUCGUGGCACUGCGGAAGCCUGCAGUGACUUCGAGGGCGGAAUCUCAGGAUGAAGCUGUGUGGUUACCUGGAAAGACAGGAACACUGGAGAACUCAGGCUUCCUCAGAUCAGGAAAACCUCCUGUUUCUUUUGUCUUUUAAGUGAAUCAGACCCUGAGGAAAUGAACAUGCAUGAGGAAAUUCCUGUCAUCUUCUCCCCUGUACCAUUUCAUUGUCCAUGUGAGUAUGGGAUUACACCAUGGCUGGAAAGAAGUGUGGACAGUAAGUCUUUAGUCUGAACUGAGCAUACACAUUCAAGCCAGAUCACUUCCACUAAUGUUCCCUGAGACUCUGGUCUCUAGGGAAGGGCUUUCCAAUUUUCCUAGAAUUAUGAAACCCUAUCACCACUGAGUUUGUUUAUCACUCUGAUCCACUAUAAAAUU